rnacentral:lncRNA from 1 species
AAAAAAUAAACGUGGAUGGAAAUCAGAAAAUAAACCCUUCCCUAACAAAAAAACCCUUCCCUAACAAAAAAAACCCUUCCCUAACUUACCCAGUAGCCAAGCACACUUAAACCGAAAACCACUUCUCAAACAUACCAAAUGGAGUCACCUUCUUCUUCUGUCUAGUUAGUGAAUAUAGGUUCACCUGUUUCUCUGUUUAUUGUUGUUCUGUACUUUGUAUUUUUGGUUUCUUUUGUGUUUUGAUUUUUUGUGCUUAAGUUCUGUUUCGUUUUUGUUAUUAUUUUGGUUCUGUGCUUCAGUUUACUUCCGUUCUCUUCCCUCUUGUUAUGUUACAUUCAGUAGCGUUCCAGUCGGUGGCUGCUCGUCGUUCUAUUCUGACUGUCAUUGAAAAGUUCCGCUCGUCGUUCUAAUCGGUUCUGUUUAAAUCUGGUUUAUGUUGAUUUUUAAUUUCUUGUGCUUAAGUUCUGUUACUUUUUUGAUAUUAUAUUUUUGGUUCCGUUCUUCAGUUUACCUCCGGUCUGUUCCUUCCUCUUCAGUUCCGUUCAGUAGCGUUUUCGACUGUGGCUGCUCUGUGUUCUAUUCUCUUUUGUUUUAUGCCGGUGGCUGCUCUAGCGUUUUAUGAUUUCUGGUAUUCUGACAAAAUAGUUAGUGGGUUUUAAUAAUCAUUUCUUCCUGUAUAACCAGGAAGAAAUGAUUAUCUGCCUCGCGAAGCUGGCGGAGCUAGAAUUGGUCGAAUAAACUUCAACGGAAGAAGCCAGCAAACGAAAUUAAUCUCGCGGAGCUGGUGGAUGGAGUAUACCCCUCCGGCCUCCGUUAUCCUUUUUCCAAUCAAAAAUCAAUCUUUGGAAUUCUAGCUCAGGCGAGUCUUUUUUUUAUCAGUUAAAAAUCGAACUCUUCCUCUCGAUUUUGGGCAUAACAUUAGUAUUCGAUCAUCUCCAUGAAAUCCAACAACGAUUCCACCGCAUCCGUCUGUAAUAGUGAGGAAAAGUACUUGGAUGGUGAUUUCAAAUGCUCCAAAUUGGAAGAUAAGGUGGACGAGUUUAUCAAAUGCGGAGAAUUUACCCGUGCCAUAUCACUACUCGAGUCCUACAUCGAAACCCUAAAGAACAACAUUUCUUCCUCUACUUCUCAUAUUCGCCUUUUGACUGCAGCCAAAUCUAUGAUCGAAGAAGGUUAUUCCAAAGGAGGAGGUGCUCUCAAAACUAAUCAACCAUCCCUUCGUUCGAUUUUCUGUCACGUCAGAAAGGCACAGGGAAGGUAAUUCUGUUCACGUUUUUUAAGGACGUAAUUAAAUUCUGUCAUGAUUGAUGGUUUUGAAUUCGCAUAGAAUUUAAAGGUUUUUUAUUUAUUUAAUGGGAAGAUUUCAAAUUAAAAGUUGG